GACGAACGCUGGCGGCGUGCUUAACACAUGCAAGUCGAACGGAAAGGCCCUGCUUUUGUGGGGUGCUCGAGUGGCGAACGGGUGAGUAACACGUGAGUAACCUGCCCUUGACUUUGGGAUAACUUCAGGAAACUGGGGCUAAUACCGGAUAGGAGCUCCUGCUGCAUGGUGGGGGUUGGAUAGUUUCGGCGGUUGGGGAUGGACUCGCGGCUUAUCAGCUUGUUGGUGGGGUAGUGGCUUACCAAGGCUCUGACGGGUAGCCGGCCUGAGAGGGUGAACGGCCACAUUGGGACUGAGAUACGGCCCAGACUCCUACGGGAGGCAGCAGUGGGGAAUAUUGCACAAUGGGCGGAAGCCUGAUGCAGAAACGCCGCGUGCGGGAUGACGGCCUUCGGGUUGUAAACCGCUUUCGCCUGUGACGAAGCGUGAGUGACGGUAAUGGGUAAAGAAGCACCGGCUAACUACGUG
rnacentral:rRNA from 1 species